GGCGGCGGUCCGCGGGUGACAUGCAGUCCCUCAUCUCUCCGGUGACCAAGGCUAUCCUGGUGGCUUUGUUCAUCUUCGCCAUCCUGCUGAUCCUCUACGUGAUUCUGUGGUACAUCUGCCGCGAUGUGGAUUGCGACCAUGGGAUCUGAGCGGCGCCGCGGGGCCAGGGCUUAGGAGCCGGGAUUCACCCCGCGGGGCCGGGAGCGGCAGCGGGAGCCCCUCCGGGCGGCAGCCGCCGCCACCGCGGCCGAGCAGGGGAAGAGAAGGGGAAGGAAAGAAAAGAAGAAAAAAAGAAAAAAAAAAAAAAAAAAAGAAAGCGAGCGAGGGACCGAGCCGAAAGAGCCCGGAGGACAACUGCGAUCAAGAAACCAACCUGAGCUUGACCUUCAGAGACCAGGGUGACCCGCCAUUUAGAUUUCUGGAUCAGUUGCCAGAGUCCUGACCCUGCCAGAGUCCCUGCGGGUGGGAUGCUGAACCUGCCUGAACUUCAGCUGCUGCCAGAGGCUGUGCCAGCCCAGCUGAGCUCACUGCAGGACCAGAGAUGAGUUAGCUGGUGGUCUGGGUUGAGACACAUGAGGCAGAAAAAGGAGGUAUUUUGAAUUUGGAAACUUGGUGGCAAAGUUUGAGAGUUUAAUAAAGAUAAGAAGCUUUUUCUCUCUCA
rnacentral:lncRNA from 1 species